rnacentral:rRNA from 1 species
UAAUACGUAGGGUCCGAGCGUUGUCCGGAAUUACUGGGCGUAAAGCGCGCGCAGGCGGUCCACGAGGUGUCACGUGAAAGCCCCGGGCUCAACUCGGGAGGGUCGUGGCAAACCGGUGGACUUGAGGCCGGUAGAGGUGGGUGGAACUCCUGGUGGAGUGGUGAAAUGCGUAGAGAUCAGGAAGAACACCCGUGGCGAAGGCGGCCCACUGGGCCGGAACUGACGCUGAGGCGCGAAGGCGUGGGGAGCGAACGGGAUUAGAUACCCCGGUAGUCCACGCAGUAAACGAUGUCGACUCGGUGUGGGCGGUCUUGACCCCGUCCGCGCCACAGCUAACGCGACAAGUCGACCGCCUGGGGAGUACGGCCGCAAGGCUA